GCAAACUUGGUCAUUUAGAGGAAGUAAAAGUCGUAACAAGGUUUCCGUAGGUGAACCUGCGGAAGGAUCAUUACAGGAUUACAACGAAGGCGAGGGCGGUCUUCGGACCCCCCUUCGUCUUCAAUCCAAUCCAAACCCCUUUGUGAACCACCGCGGGGACUAGUACGAGGCCUUUUCUAGUAGGUCUUGGAAAGUCCGCGUCACACAUCUAUAUACCCCAGUAUGUCUCAGAAUGUACCCUUUGCGUAAACCGCAAUAAAAUACAACUUUCAGCAACGGAUCUCUUGGCUCUCGCAUCGAUGAAGAACGCAGC
rnacentral:misc_RNA from 1 species